rnacentral:tRNA from 1 species
GCCUGGCUGGCUCAGCCGGUAGAGCAUGCAACUCUUUAUCUCAGGGUCGUGAGUUCAAAUCCCACACUGGGCG